GGCAGCAUGGGUCUUAGCUUGCUAAGGCUGAUGGCGACCGGCGCACGGGUGAGUAACACGUAUCCCACUUGCCGUCUACUCUUGGCCAGCCUUCUGAAAGGAAGAUUACAUCCAGGAUGGGAUCAUGAGUUCACAUGUCCGCAUGAUUAAAGGUAUUUUCCGGUAGACGAUGGGGAUGCGUUCCAUUAGAUAGUAGGCGGGGUAACGGCCCACCUAGUCAACGAUGGAUAGGGGUUCUGAGAGGAAGGUCCCCCACAUUGGAACUGAGACACGGUCCAAACUCCUACGGGAGGCAGCAGUGAGGAAUAUUGGUCAAUGGGCGAUGGCCUGAACCAGCCAAGUAGCGUGAAGGAUGACUGCCCUAUGGGUUGUAAACUUCUUUUAUAAAGGAAUAAAGUCGGGUAUGCAUACCCGUUUGCAUGUACUUUAUGAAUAAGGAUCGGCUAACUCCGUGCUAGCAGCCGCGGUAAUACGGAGGAUCCGAGCGUUAUCCGGAUUUAUUGGGUUUAAAGGGAGCGUAGAUGGAUGUUUAAGUCAGUUGUGAAAGUUUGCGGCUCAACCGUAAAAUUGCAGUUGAUACUGGAUGUCUUGAGUGCAGUUGAGGCAGGCGGAAUUCGUGGUGUAGCGGUGAAAUGCUUAGAUAUCACGAAGAACUCCGAUUG
rnacentral:rRNA from 1 species